rnacentral:rRNA from 1 species
GGUUAAGCGACUAAGCGUACACGGUGGAUGCCCUGGCAGUCAGAGGCGAUGAAGGACGUGCUAAUCUGCGAAAAGCGUCGGUAAGGUGAUAUGAACCGUUACAGCCGGCGAUGUCCGAAUGGGGAAACCCAGUGCAAUUCGUUGCACUAUCGUUAACUGAAUACAUAGGUUAACGAGGCGAACCGGGGGAACUGAAACAUCUAAGUACCCCGAGGAAAAGAAAUCAACCGAGAUUCCCCCAGUAGCGGCGAGCGAACGGGGAGCAGCCCGGAGUCUGAAUCAGCUUGUGUGUUAGUGGAAGCGUCUGGAAAGUCGCAGGGUACAGGGUGAUACUCCCGUACACUAAAAC